GACGCCGUAAGUUCAGUUGGCAGAGCAGUGGGACGGUACCCCACCGUCCCGGGUUCAAGUCCCGGCGACGACG